AAAGGUGUAAGCCUGCUGAGGCUAAGAGAAUACUGUUGUUGUAAUUGUUCAGGUGAACAAGGUUGUAAGGUGCAGGAUUUGAGAAGUUAUCUCAAGCAUCAUAGUGGAAAAUCUCACAAGAUUGUGAGGAGUGGACUAACCCACAUUGGGUGAACCACUAUAAAUUUCUGUGUGUUCUUCUUCUCUUCUCUUUAAUAUUUACUUACAUUAAACACAACACACACAAACACAUUUAAUUAUUUAAAUUGUUUUUAUACUAACACUUCAGAACGUUCUGAAGUCUGUCUGUUAACUU
rnacentral:lncRNA from 1 species